GACGAACGCUGGCGGCGUGCUUAACACAUGCAAGUCGAACGCUGAAGCUCAGCUUUUGUUGGGUGGAUGAGUGGCGAACGGGUGAGUAACACGUGAGUAACCUUCCCCCUUCUUUGGGAUAACGCCCGGUAACGGGUGCUAAUACUGGAUAUUCACUGGUCUUCGCGUGGGGGGUGGUGGAAAGGGGUUUUCUGGUGGGGGAUGGGCUCGCGGCCUAUCUGCUGGUUGGUGGGGUGAUGGCCUAGCAAGGCGUUGACGGGUAGCAGGCCGGAGCGGGUGACCGGUCAGAGUGGGGCUGAGAUACGGCCCAGACUCGUACGAGAGGCAGCCGUGGGGAAUAUUGGACAAUUGGUGCAAGACGGAUGGAGCGACGACGCGUGAGGGAUGGGGGCCGUCUGGUUGUGAACCUGUUGCGCUCAUGGUCAAGCCGGAACAAUGGUUGUGGUGAGGGUAGUGGCUAAAGAAGCGCCGGCUAACUACGUG
rnacentral:rRNA from 1 species